CCUUUGAGAAUUCUUCACAUGUGAAAGAUGGUAAGGCAACACUGUGUAGCUGGCAGAAAUUCUCUCUGUAAAUCAGCUCUCAUGACUACCUUGCUCCCCUUCUGCCGGUUGGGAAAGACUCCCUGGAACACUGUUCAUCCUCAUCUCCCGCACUGCCAGUUAACCUCCACACCAGGGGACGGCACCACCACCUGCCCCUCUUCGGACGCUUCCCGUGGCCGUGAUGAGUGUGAGCCCCUCCCUGCAGACAGCGAGAAACUGCCCGGGCCCCUCGGAGGUGCGGUGAGUUGUGGCUGGGGAAACAGAAAAUGGACCGAGCAGCAGGCCCCUCUGGACCGCUAUUCACAGAUGACGUCGGAGGAUUCAGUACACUCUGACAAAGCACUUUCCCUAAGUGUAGCUGGAGAAGCUGGGGCACCGCACGGGAGAGUUUCCCCUUUGCCUAUGUGACAGAGAAGGACUGUGUAGUCAGGUCUGCAACAGAAGCCUCACCCCGGUAGGGACCCAACAGCGAGCUCUCCACAGAUUUGCACUUGGGUCCAGAAUCUGCCUUUGCUUUGAUGUGGAGAAUCUUCUUUUUAUGGAAAAGAAGUAGAGGAGGAUUUCAGUUCGCAAAUACUGGUGUAAAAGGAAGGCAAAGGACUGCCCUGCCAAGUGAUGAAAAGAAAUGCCGUCCUCUUUCUCUGGGGUGGCGGGCUUUAGGCUCAAGCGUGGGAACAGGGCUGGAGCCUCAGGUCUGGACUGGGGUCUGUGGGGCUCAGUGGACCGGAAGGGCGAGCUCUGCGGCUGCACCGGAAGCCAGGGACAGGAAGUGCGGGGCAACUUGCUGCAGUCUGGUCCCGCCAAGCCUGACACCCAUGUGCUUCCGUGUUCCUGGCCGCUCAUUUCCUUGUGUCUCUGAUGAAAAAGAAAACCGAGUUCAUCUGGGGCCCAUUUAUAAACUUUUCAAGCCAUAAUAAUUUUUAAAAAAUUAAGUUUAUUGGUACAUUUUAGGUAUACAACUACAUUCAUCAUUGGGAAUUUGCAUCUUUACAUGAUGUAUCUUGGUUCUUAUUUUUUCCCCAUUCCCCUGCCCUCCCUUCCACCUCUCCACCUCUCCCUAUUUAUAAAGACUUUGUUUCCAUUUUUCAUUUUCUCAUAUUUCUUCCUUUCCCCUACCCCUCCCAGUUCCCCUUCCCCUUUGGACCUUUUCUUCCUAUUUCACAGAAUCAUACCACAGUGAUAUAUGCACACCCAUGUUUUUAGCAGCACAGUCUGUAAUAGCUAAAACUUGGAAACAGCCCAAUUGACCAUCAACAGGAGACUGGAUAAAGGAAAUGUACAUUUUAAAAACCAAAAUGGAGUACUACUCAGCCACAAAGAAGGAGAAAUUAGACACAUAAUAUUUUGAUUAUGAUUGCUUCGCAGUAUAUUUUAACACUUGGGAGAACAAUUUUCAUUUAUAUUUUUCCUUCCAAAUUUAGCUUAAGAAUCUGUAUUUCAUGUAAAUUUUAUAAUGACUUUGAGUUCCUCAGAAGAGCAUCCAUUUAUAACCAUGAUGGAAAGCUCUGAAAGCCGAGAUUUAUAUUGCUCUGCCAGAGACAUCCCAAAGUGAGUUUCUGUCAUUUGAAUCACUUAACCAAUUCAGGAAAUCUGUCAGGUAAAUGCUUUUAUUAUCUCAUCAUACAGAAACACGAAUGGGUAGAAGAACAAAGUAAUUUGACAAAUUUGGUCAAAUUUGGUCUCAUUGAAAUGGCUGAGAAUAAAACCCAGACUUUUAAGAUUUAUAGUCUAUUUUUAACUACUAUGAUAAAAUAAAAUAUUUCCUUUGUUUCAUUGUUGUUACAUUAAUCCUCAAAUAUUUGUGGCA
ensembl:lincRNA